AACGAACGCUGGCGGCGCGUCUUAAACAUGCAAGUCGAACGGCAGGAAGGGGCUUGCCCCUUCUGAGAGUGGCGGACUGGUGAGUAACACGUGGGUGACAUACCUUUUAGUUGGGGAUAGCUAUUAGAAAUAGUAGGUAAUACCGAAUGUGACCGUACCUGUUAGAGGGGUACGAGGAAAGGAGCUAAGGCUUCGCUAAAAGAAUGGCUCGCGGCCCAUUAUGCUCGUUGGUGAGGUAACGGCCCACCAAGGCGAUGAUGGGUAUCCGGCCUGAGAGGGUGAACGGACACAUUGGGACUGAGAUACGGCCCAGACUUCUACGGGAGGCAGCAGUUAAGAAUAUUCCGCAAUGGACGAAAGUCUGACGGAGCGACGCCGCGUGGAUGAAGAAUGCCGAAAGGUUGUAAAAUCCUUUUAAGCCUGAUGAAUAAGCACAGUAGGGAAUGAUUGUGCGGUGGCCGUAGGGCUUGAAUAAGCACCGGCUAAUUACGUG
rnacentral:rRNA from 1 species